CGGUACCUGCAGAGGAAGCCACGGCUAACUCCGUGCCAGCAGCCGCGGUAAUACGGGGGUGGCAAGCGUUGUUCGGAUUUACUGGGUGUAAAGGUCAUGUAGGCUUUUUAUUAAGUCGGAUGUGAAAUCCCUUGGCUCAACCAAGGAACUGCAUUCGAUACUGGUAAGAUUGAGUACGAGAGAGGUAAGCGGAAUUCCGGGAGUAAGGGUGAAAUCUGUAGAUAUCCGGAAGAACACCAUUAGCGAAGGCGGCUUACUGGCUCGAUACUGACGCUGAAUAUGAGAAAGCUAGGGGAGCAAACAGGAUUAGAUACCCUGGUAGUCCUAGCUGUAAA
rnacentral:rRNA from 1 species